GGAUGAACGCUGGCGGCGUGCCUAAUACAUGCAAGUCGAGCGAACGGACGAGAAGCUUGCUUCUCUGAUGUUCGCGGCGGACGGGUGAGUAACACGUGGAUAACCUACCUAUAAGACUGGGAUAACUUCGGGAAACCGGAGCUAAUACCGGAUGAUAUUUUGGACCGCAUGGUUCAAAAGUGAAAGACGGUCUUGCUGUCACUUAUAGAUGGAUCCGCGCUGCAUUAGCUAGUUGGUAAGGUAACGGCUUACCAAGGCAACGAUGCAUAGCCGACCUGAGAGGGUGAUCGGCCACACUGGAACUGAGACACGGUCCAGACUCCUACGGGAGGCAGCAGUAGGGAAUCUUCCGCAAUGGGCGAAAGCCUGACGGAGCAACGCCGCGUGAGUGAUGAAGGUCUUCGGAUCGUAAAACUCUGUUAUUAGGGAAGAACAUAUGUGUAAGUAACUGUGCACAUCUUGACGGUACCUAAUCAGAAAGCCACGGCUAACUACGUG
rnacentral:rRNA from 1 species